rnacentral:misc_RNA from 1 species
GAAAUGCGAUACGCAAUGCGAAUUGCAGAACUCCUUGAAUCAUCAGAUUUUCGAACGUAACUCACACCAAGCUUUGUAAUAGGCAUUGGUAUGUUUGUUUCAGUAUCUAGAAUAUCACAAAUCUCAAUAUGAUUGACAAAACUUACUUCGGUAAACGGCGUCUUUCAUUAAGUUAGAAUAAAUUCUUAUUUCCGACCAAUGAAGCAGUCUCAUUCAUUUGAGAUUUCAUUGAGAAAGAUCUAAUGAAUUUAUAGAUUUUAAAAUUUCUUCCUUUUGUAUCUGAAAUCAAGCAAGAUAACCCGCUGAACUUAA